GACGAACGCUGGCGGCGUGCCUAAUACAUGCAAGUCGAACGCUGAAGAGAGGAGCUUGCUCUUCUUGGAUGAGUUGCGAACGGGUGAGUAACGCGUAGGUAACCUGCCUUGUAGCGGGGGAUAACUAUUGGAAACGAUAGCUAAUACCGCAUAACAAUGGAUGACACAUGUCAUUUAUUUGAAAGGGGCAAUUGCUCCACUACAAGAUGGACCUGCGUUGUAUUAGCUAGUAGGUGAGGUAAUGGCUCACCUAGGCGACGAUACAUAGCCGACCUGAGAGGGUGAUCGGCCACACUGGGACUGAGACACGGCCCAGACUCCUACGGGAGGCAGCAGUAGGGAAUCUUCGGCAAUGGGGGCAACCCUGACCGAGCAACGCCGCGGGAGUGAAGAAGGUUUUCGGAUCGUAAAGCUCUGUUGUAAGUCAAGAACGGGUGUGAGAGUGGAAAGUUCACACUGUGACGGUAGCUUACCAGAAAGGGACGGCUAACUACGUG
rnacentral:rRNA from 1 species